AUCAUCAGUAGUGGUUAAUACUAUCUCAAGAUAAUAUUAAUUAAUUACAUUUUUAUGGAAACCUAACGGUUUGAUUAUUCGAGUUCUCCCGUCGUGGUGAGUUUUGCUGGAGGAAGUCCAUUCCGAAGGUGAGUUGCUUAUCUGCGAUUAGUUAAUACUAGGACGCGAAUUUUUAAAGCCAUCGAUAUAACCCAUAGCUGAAUGGCACUUGACCACCCCCAAACAAGGUGGCUACAGGUAUCAUUUCGUUUCCGGUUUCUUAGAAUAACAUUUAUUUUAUGAGGGAGUCCUCUCUUCCCGCCAAGACAGACUAUAUUUUUAUAUUUUGCUUGGCAAUGUUGGGGGAGGAAAGUGCAUGUCUCCAGAGGGUGAUAUAAUGUUGCCUGAGAGUUUGGAAUUCUGCAGUGCUCUUCUUCAUGGUAAGACAUUU
rnacentral:snoRNA from 1 species